GAUGAAGAACGCAGCUAGCUGCGAUAUUUAGUGCGAACUGCAGAAACUUUGAGCACAAACAUUUUGAAUGCAUAUUGCGCCUUUGGAGUCAAAUCCACUGGCACGUCUGGUUCAGGGUCAUUAUCGCAGACAAGAUAAAGAAAUAUCUUCGCCGCAUCGGAUCAUUUUUGACCGACCGAUUAGACAACACUUGUUGUGUAGUAAUGUUCAACAUGGAAUGACAAAUGAGCGUGUUAUAUUGCAUUUCCUUGUACGAGAGCAUAAUACCCUUUGCAUUUUUGACCUGAACUCAGUCGUGAUCACCCGCUGAACUUAAGCAUAUCAAUAAGCGGAGGA
rnacentral:misc_RNA from 1 species